rnacentral:rRNA from 1 species
UACAGAGGGUGCAAGCGUUAAUCGGAAUUACUGGGCGUAAAGCGUGCGCAGGCGGUUCGUUGUGUCGGCGGUGAAAGCCCCGGGCUCAACCUGGGAAUGGCCGUUGAAACUGGCGAACUGGAGUGUGGCAGAGGGGGGUGGAAUUCCGCGUGUAGCAGUGAAAUGCGUAGAGAUGCGGAGGAACACCGAUGGCGAGGCAGCCCCCCUGGGCUGACACUGACGCUCA